UUCUUCUGGUUGGAAUCAUUUCAAAGAUGACUCAUUGCUUCACUGUAAGUUAUUUUACGCACUUUUCUUCCUUCCGAUUUGGGGUUCACUCGAGAGUAAGAGAGUGAUGUUGCAGUGCAUAUUUCUCGUCUCAGAUGCCGGAGAGUUAAUGCUGGAGAAGCAGCUCACGGGGCACCGCCUGGAUCGCUCCAUUUGUGCCUGGUUCUGGGAACAAACCAUUUCACUAGGCGACUCCUUCAAGCAACAACCAGUGAUUGCCUCUCCCACGCAUUAUAUUUUCCAGUAUUUUU